UCGUCGACGAUCUUUCAAUAUAUAAAAUAUAUCGAUACCAAACGAUAUAACAUUUGUUAAAAGGCAUAUACGUAUGACGUACAUACGCGUACACGUGCAUACAGAAAAAUUGAGAAAAAAAUAGCAAAAUAGAGCGAGGAAGAGAGAGAGAGAGAGAUGAAAGUUCAUUGUUUACGAGGAAGGACGUCUGUCCUAACAAACGGAGUUUUCGAUGAGGUCUCGUAUUUUUCUAUUCCUGUUGCUUUCUUUUAUUUUUUGAUUUUGAUUAAUUAUCUAAUUAAAUUAUAAAAAUUUUAAUAUAUAUAUAUAUAUAUAUAUAUAUAUAUAUAUAUAUAUAAUAUUAUUACACUGAAAGAAAAAGAGAAUGUUUAUAGCAUUUACUAGCUGAUGUAUACAAAGCAAAUCUUAUUACAAUGUUUAUAUGUUUCUAUAUAAGCUGAAAUAUAUAAAUACAACUUAUGUUAUUUACUUUCUGUCGAAUAUCGUAUGAGAUCAGUCUUUCGGCCACCACCGAGGUGGAAUGUUGGAAGAUCCCAUACAAACAUACAUUUGUAAAUAGAUACAUAUGUGUAUAUGUACAUAUGUACGUAACUAGAUACAUAAUAUACACACCCACACACAUACACAAAAUAUACAGUAGUCUUUCUCUUGGGUAUUGCUUGAGAUUUUCUUAUAUUGUAUGGACAGUAACGAGCAACCUUUGUUCUGCAAUGAGCCAAAAUUAAAUAUCUGAUAUUGUUAUAGAUACAUUAUGAACUAAAAAUGUUUAAAUUGAUUAAAAAGAAAUUAAUACUUGAUAGAAAAAGAAAAAAUUACACAUUAUUGAAGGGUAUUUGUUAUUUUCUGCAUCAAUUUACAAUGAAAUGUUUUCUAUAAUCCUCUUGAUUUUUUAUUAGCAAUACUUUUAAUGUGUACGCAUAAAUGUAUGUAUAUAUAUCUUUGUAAUGGAACGAAAUCUAUUAGUUGUUUAUUUUUAAUUAGAUAUAUGAUUCUACUUCUCGUUAAUAAACUUUACAUUAUUAUAUUGGAAGAUACAAUGGAAGAUAUCGAAUUAAACUCUAAUACAAUCUUUUAUUCGUUUGUCGUUAACGUUAAGACUUUUGAUAAAAGAUUUCAAUACUUCGGUUAAUAGUUAAAAUGCCUUUCAACUGGCCGUAGAUAACAAAGCUCUUCACAAAUGUAUCAACGUAAGAUGUAAUACCACUGAUUAAGAAAUUCACUAAUUAUAGUCGACUAUUGUCAUUUUUCGAUGCAAGAUGUAAGUCGUAUUUGCAUUGAUACGCAGAUGAAUACGUAUAUGAUAAUGUUUUUUUAUAAACCCUGAGUUUAUUUCUGAUACAGAUUGAGAUAUAUACAGAUAUAUAUAUAUAUACAUAUUAUAUAUAAUAUAUAUAUAUAUAUAUUAUAUAUAAUAUGUAUAUAUAUAUACAGAGAGAGAGAGAGAGAGAGAGAGAGAGAGAGAGAGAGAGAGAGAAAGAAAGGGUAAACGAAUCGAGAAUUUGAAUAAAACAAAGAACGAUAUCGAGAUUAAAUUGAAAAGAAACUUUGUUAGCUCUUGACAAAAAGGCAUUCGAUAAGGAAGCAUUAGGCGUCCAAAGUACAAUUAUAUCAAAAACCCAUUCAAAUUAAAGAAGAUUACAUAUGUAUCUGAUUAUGAUACCUUAUAUUUCUUAUUAUUCAUAUAAAAGAAAAGAAAAAGAAAAAAAAAACAGUUAAGAAGAAUAAGAAAGAAAUCUCAUCUUUAUUUCCCAAUAUCUUCAAUUAUGAUAGAUUUCUAAAUACAAUAAGGAUAAUAAUAACAAUAAUAACAACAACAAUAAUAUGCAGAAGAAGAAGAAGAAGAAGAAUAAAGUAUCUUGGUAUAUUCAAUUUUGCUUUCUUGUUCUUAUGUAGUAUAUGUAUCUAGUACAAUGUAAAUUUUAAUGUGGGAUUUCAUUUAAACGUGUCAUUUAAUGCGUAUUAUGAUUAAUAUGCAUUAUUCAUACACAUAUCAAGGUAUGUGUAUUUAAAUGAAUAUAGAAUUUAUACCUCGUUGACAAAUUAAAUUUACAAUAUUGAAAUAAGGGUGUCACGAUCAGGUACACGCAUCACGUUCGAUCGUCGACGAUCUUUCUAUAUAUAAAAUAUAUCGAUACCAAACGAUAUUACAUUUGUUAAAAGGCAUAUACGUAUUACGUACAUACGCGUACACGUGCAUACAGAAAAAUUAAGAAAAAAAUAGCAAAACAGAGCGAGGAAGAGAGAGAGAGAGAGAGAGAGAGAGAUGAAAGUACAUUGUUUUCUAACAAACGGAGUUUUCGAUGAGGUCUCGUAUUUUUCUAUUCCUGUUGCUUUCUUUUAUUUUUUGAUUUUGAUUAAUUAACUAAUUAAAUUAUAAAAAUUUUAAUAUAUAUAUAUAUAUAUAUAAUAUUAUUACACUGAAAGAAAAAGAGAAUGUUUAUACCAUUUACUAGCUGACAUAUACAAAGCAAAAAUUAUUACAAUGUUUAUAUGUUUCUAUAUAAGGUGAAAUAUCUAAAUACACCUUAUGUUAUUUACUUUCUGUCGAAUAUCGUAUGAGAUCAGUCUUUCGGCAACCACCAAGGUGGAAUGUUGGAAGAUCCCAUAUAAACAUACGUUUGUAAAUAGAUACAUAUGUACAUAACUAGAUACAUAAUAUACACACCCACGCACACAUACACAAAGUAUAUAGUAGUCUUUCCUUGGGUAUUGCUUGAGGUUUAUUAUAUUGUGUAGACAGUAACGAGCAACCUUUCUUCUGCAAUGAGCCAAAAUUAAAUAUCUGAUAUUGUUAUUGAUAGAAUUCAUUAUGAACUAAAAAUGUUUAAAUUGAUUAACAAAGAAAUUAAUACUUAAUAGAAAAAGAAAAAAUUACACAUUAUUGAAGGGUAUUUGUUAUUGUCGGCAUCAAUUUACAAUGAAAUGUUUUCUAUAAUUCCAUUGAUUUUUUAUUAGCAAUACUUUUAAUGUGUACGCAUAAAUGUAUGUAUAUACAUUUGUGUAAUGGAACGAAAUCUAUUAGUUGUUUAUUUUUAAUUAGAUAUAUGAUUCUACUUCUCGUUAAUAAACUUUACAUUAUUAUAUUGGAAGAUACAAUGGAAGAUAUCGAACUAAACUCUAAUACAAUCUUUUAUUCGUUUGUCGUUAACGUUAAGACUUUUGAUAAAAGAUUUCAAUACUUCGGUUAAUAGUUAAAAUGACUUUCAACUGGCCGUAGAUAACAAAACUCUUCACAAAUGUAUCAACGUAAGAUGUAAUACCACUGAUUAAGAAAUUCACUAAUUAUAGUCGACUAUUGUCAUUUUUCGAUGCAAGAUGUAAGUCGUAAUUGCAUUGAGGCGUAUAUGAAUACGUAUAUGAUAAUGUUUUUUUGUAAACCCUGAGUUACUCAUUUCUGUUAUGUAUUAUAUACUAUAUAUAUAUAGAGAGAGAGAGAGAGAAAGAGAAA